rnacentral:piRNA from 1 species
GCUAUCUAAGGCGACCCGCCUACUUUGCG